rnacentral:lncRNA from 1 species
UUUUAAAUCCUAAUCUACCCUUGCUGCAUGAAAGGCAGCGAGUCCAGAGCCAUUUGCGGACAGAGCAAAUUCAUGCUUUCCUUGACAGCAGACAAACCCUCAGUGCAGGUCUAGCUGAGCCUGCAAGGCAAAUGAGUAAUCAAUGUCAGAUUCCCUCGCCUGAACCCGUGAAAUGUUGUAGCACUGGCUGCUACUACACGAAGCAUGGCCCUACAGGUAGCAAAAGAUCACCAUGUUGUAAACUACAUCCAUUCCCAGCAUUCAAGGAUUGAAGACAGCCAGAACCUGGAAGCAAACUAGAUGCCCCUUAACUGAAGAAUGGAUAAAGAAAAUGUGGUACGUUUGCACAAUGGAGUACUACUCAGUGGAAAAAAAAGAACAAUGACAACUUGAAAUUUGCAGUCAAGUGGAUGGAACUAGAAGAAACCAUCCUGAGUAAGGUAACCCAGUCACAAAAAGACAAACAUGGUAUGUAAUCUUUCAUAUAUGGAUAUUAGAUAUAGAACAAAGGAUUACCAGCCUACAAUCCACACUGCCAGAGAAGCUAGGAAACAAAGGAGGACCCUAAGAAGACAUACAGGGUCCCCUGGAGAAGGGGAAAGGGACAAGAUCUCCUGAGAAAAUUGGGAGCAUGAGGGGCAGGAGAAAGGAGCUAGAAGAAAGAGAAGGGGAGAAGAGGAGAGGAGAAAAGGACAUGAGGGAGCAGGAAAUUUGAGUCGGGGAAGAAUAGAGGAGAGCAAGAUAAGAGAUACCAUAAUAGAAGGAGCCAUUAUAGUUUUAAAGAGAAAUCUGGCACUAGGGAAAUGUCCAGAGAUCUACAAGGAUGACAACUAACAAUCUAAGCAGUAGUGAAGAGACUGCCUUAAAUGUCCUCCCCUGAUAAUGAGAUUGAUGACUACCUUAUAUGCCAUCCUAGAGACUUCAUUCAGUAGCUGAUGGAAGUAGAAGCAGACACCCACAGCUAAACACUGAAUUGAACUCCUAGAAUCCAGUUGCAGAGAGGACUGAUGAGCAAAGGGUUCAAGACCAGGCUGGUGAAACCCACAGAAACAGCUGACCUGAACAAGGGGGAGCUCAUGGACCCCAGACUGACAGCUGGGAAACUGGCAUAGGACUGAUCCAGACCCCAUGAACAUGGUGUCAUUGAGGAGACCUUAUAAAUCUAUGGGGCCUCUGGUAGUAGAUCAGUAUUUAUCCCUAGCAUAGGAUGGACUUUGGGAGCCCAUUCCACAUAGAGGGAUACUCUCAGCCUAGACACAGCGGGGAGGGCCAAGGCCCUAUUCCAAAGGAUAUGACAGAGUCUGAAGAUCCCCCAUGAAGGCCUCACCCUCCCUGGGGAGCAGAAAGGGU